GAGGACUCAUGAAAGAAGACUUGCUAAGGAUGAUCCUGAUCAGCUUUUGUUCAGUGCGCUUUCAAGCAUCCUUGCCAUCCACAAUGGUCCUGUGUAGUCACUGAAAAUUUCACCUGGCAGGAUGGGAUGAAGACAUACUGUUCCUUUUUAAAUUGAUAAGGCUGAACAAAAUAGAAAAAAGUAUUAAUGAUUUGAGCAAAAAUGGAAAGAGCCUUCAUGAACAAUAUUAGCGUGGCCACCUGCAGAGUCAGGAAGGUAUGGAAGAGUGCAAAAGGACCAUCUGCAAGGAUCCAGUCAAAAGUCAAAGACCUGGAGCUCUCUGUAGAGUCCAGUGAGAGUCCGUAUCAGGAAGCUGAAAGUCUGCGCUGAAAGCCAGGAGAGGACAUCCAAGGCAGUGAUGAAGACUGGAGCGCCUCUGAAAAAACAGAAGUGAGGCUUCUCCUUUCCCAUUUUAUUCCAUUUAGGCUACUAACCUCUUGUGAUUGGUGCCACUCACAACCAGGGAGGGUCUUCCCUUUUCAAUAAAGCCAUCAUUCAGUCACACCUAGAACUAUGCUAAGCCAAUCAGCUGGGUAUUUCUUACUCCAGUUGACAAAAUAGUUAACUCUCAC
rnacentral:lncRNA from 1 species